rnacentral:piRNA from 7 species
GGUCGGGGUUUCGUACGUAGCAGA